rnacentral:rRNA from 1 species
UACGUAGGGUCCGAGCGUUAAUCGGAAUUACUGGGCGUAAAGCGUGCGCAGGCGGUCUUGAAAGUCAGGCGUGAAAGCCCCGGGCUUAACCUGGGAAUUGCGCUUGAUACUCUGAGACUGGAGUACGGGAGAGGAGAGUGGAAUUCCCAGUGUAGAGGUGAAAUUCGUAGAUAUUGGGAAGAACACCAGUGGCGAAGGCGGCUCUCUGGACCGUAACUGACGCUGAGGCGCGAAAGCGUGGGGAGCAAACAGG